rnacentral:rRNA from 1 species
UGGGGAAUUUUGGACAAUGGGCGCAAGCCUGAUCCAGCCAUGCCGCGUGCGGGAAGAAGGCCUUCGGGUUGUAAAACCGCUUUUGUCAGGGAAGAAAUCUUCUGAGUUAAUACCUCGGGAGGAUGACGGUACCUGAAGAAUAAGCACCGGCUAACUACGUGCCAGCAGCCGCGGUAAUACGUAGGGUGCAAGCGUUAAUCGGAAUUACUGGGCGUAAAGCGUGCGCAGGCGGUUUUGUAAGACAGAGGUGAAAUCCCCGGGCUCAACCUGGGAACUGCCUUUGUGACUGCAAGGCUUGAGUGCGGCAGAGGGGGGCAUUGGAAUUCCGCGUGUAGCAGUGAAAUGCGUAGAUAUGCGGAGGAACACCG